UAGGGAAGUCUUCCACAAUGGACGCGAGUCUGAUGGAGCAACGCCGCGUGAGUGAAGAAGGUCUUCGGAUCGUAAAACUCUGUUGUUAGAGAAGAACACGAGUGAGAGUAACUGUUCAUUCGAUGACGGUAUCUAACCAGCAAGUCACGGCUAACUACGUGCCGG
rnacentral:rRNA from 1 species